UACGGGGGGAGCAAGCGUUGUUCGGAUUUACUGGGCGUAAAGGGCGCGUAGGCGGCCACCGCAAGUCAAUUGUGAAAUCUCCGGGCUCAACCCGGAAAGGUCAACUGAUACUGCGGGGCUAGAGUGCAGAAGGGGCAACUGGAAUUCUCGGUGUAGCGGUGAAAUGCGUAGAUAUCGAGAGGAACACCUGCGGCGAAGGCGGGUAGCUGGGCCGACACUGACGCUGAGGCGCGAAAGCCAGGGGAGCGAACGGG
rnacentral:rRNA from 1 species